rnacentral:lncRNA from 1 species
GUUAAUUGACCUAGCUUGUGAAUCCAAAGCUCAUUCACAAUAUCUCCAGAAGGUUUGAAUCCCAAGCUCAUUCAAAAAAUUUGAGCAGGAACAUAUUGCAUCUGUUUAAUUUGAUUGUAAACAAUUCUUCUUCUUCAUCACAAAUUUCUUGUUUAAUUUGAUUUCUCCAAACAAUAUAAAAACGAUUUGAUUCACUUUAGUCGUAAAGGGAUUCAGAUGAUGGGAGGAGUGAAGAAGUCAUGUGCGCCUCCCCAACCACAUUUGACGACGACCGCCAUCUCUCCGACCAUGCUUGACGAUGACCGCCAUACAAUCUCUUGCCCGUCGUGCCGCCGUUGACCCAUUGUUCUUCUCGUCGUUAUAUUUUCCGACCCCAUGAAGUGUUGUGCAAUCUGAUUUAGAGUGACGUGGUUUAGACAAUUAUAAACCAUAGGAGAAGUAAUUUGGUGCGUUGGAUCAUUUGGAUGGCUUUAAUGGUCUAGAUUUGCUCAACUGUGUGUAACUGUG